rnacentral:lncRNA from 1 species
CUGCGCGUGGCCGCAGUACGGGGCACAGCCCGCCCGCCGCAGCUACCCGUAGCAUCGUGUCAAGGCCAGGGGGCAGCUGGUGCUGCCCAGACACGAGGCCCUUCUGAGCUCUCACCUGACGCCCAUACGUCCGACAUCCCUCUGCUCCCUCCUUGCCGCAGCCCGCGGGCCUAUCUCACACGGAGCAGUCCAGCUGGUGCUGCCCCAAACCGAAGGAGAUGGCGUCUUCUCCUAGCUUGCUUACACGGAGCCACAGGAGCAGUGCCACGGAACACAACCACAUUACAUCGGGGGAGGCAACCUAAUGGCCAAGUGGGGCUUCAGUCAGGGUGUACACAUUUCACCACGUGCAGACAAACUUGUGUAGUGUAUUAAAGUCUAUGGCCAUUUUAAUCUCUUAUGGGGGGGGGGGGAAGCAAGGUUCAUGUGAAUUCUUUAAUUAGACAUGAAAUUGCCAUGCAAAGACACUAAGGAAGUAUGUGGUUAUGCAACUGGAGCCCUAGAGGAAAAAGUAAACAAUUUUACUGAGAAAAACAGAUUGAAAACAAUGAUGACAUUAAGAGGGAAAUGGCUGGAGGUUUGGGCUCUCUGUUUUUUUCCCCUUCCCUUUUGAAGCCUAAGAACAUCUGCAGGUCAUCUUCAACUUGGUCCCUCUUUGGUGUUGCUCAGUAUAUACUGCUUCAGUACCGUGGUCAUUCUUGACUGGAACUUGGUACACAGCUCUGUACAGGAGCUCCAGCAUUAGGAGCCGUAGCAUCAGCACUUUUCUCGGUCACUAAGGGAAUGCAUCUCAUCUGAGCCAAGCCCUUUUUUAUGCCAAAAUUUUGCAAGUUAUUUAACAUGCCUAGAAGCCCCAAACCCACCAUGGUGUGCUGCUGAAAGGCAGCUGGCAUAACCAAGCGCCUGGCCUUGCACAUACCAUGGCUCUGGGACCACCACCGGGCAGCUUGGUUCCCAGGGCUGCGCUUGGCGUGGGGUGUCCUUUGUGUAGCACCAGGCUCUGGCUUACAGCAUCGUGCCCAGCCCUCCCUGGCAUACCCUGCUAGGUUAAGCAAGGCGACUUGGCUAGUUUGGCAAAGGGAAUAAAGCCCUUAAAAAUGUGAUGUGGUGAGAUAGCAUUAAAAUCCAGGAUGUGUGCCUUCAAGAGUCAAGGACAUAGCUUAAAACAAAACAAAACAAAAUUAAAAAAAAAAAAAAGCGAGAAGAAUAGGAAGAGAAGGCACACCAUGUGAUUGUAAGUUACUGAGAAGGAACUUCACAUGUGAGCUGAGGAAAUGCAGCAUUGUAAACGUGCUAUUUAUAUAGUGCUGAAAGUGUACUUUUACAGGGACAUAAACACUCUUCACUCCAGUGCAUAUAAUCUGCCCUUCUGAAGCAGAUCAAGACAGUGCCCUGUUAGAGCCGAUUCAAUCUAAGGUCAAAAACCAAAUAAAUCUCAACUUUGAGAAACUUCAAACCAAAAUUUGGUCUGGGCCGAAGUCAUUCGACUGGACCAAGCCUUUCCCAUAACAAAAAUGAUCCUCCGAAUACUGAAGCCUGAACUGAAUUUUAAUUGCAAAAGAUCAUGAGAUUUAAAGAACAACAAAUGCAGCCAUUUGUAGAGCAUGCAUGCUGAGGUCCAAGAUCUACUUCUGUUUCUCCCCUUGUCUUCAGCUCUUACAUGACCCAAUCAUGAAGAAAAGAUGUCAAAUGCCACCAGCACCAGCUGGAGAGCAUCUUGGUUGAACCCUGGUCUGAGUUUAUGUGAGAGGUAGCCCCAAGCCAGCCCACCAGCAUGGAAAUAGACCAGCAAGUAAAAUGUUACUGUGAGGAGAGCGAGGACUGCUUCAAAUCAGACAGAGCUUGCCAGAACAUAAUGGUGGCUUGUAACACAGCUAAUCAUGCCGAAUAAAACAGAGCCUUAAAUACAUUCAGGACUAGAUUCUCAAUGGACCCUUCCAUUUAGCAUGUGGCAUCAAUUUUUUUUUUCCCUAACCAACUGUAUUUGGUACCACAAGGGAUGGUUAAUACAAUUUCAAAAAAAAAAAAAAAUUCAAAAAAUAUGAAUAAAUAACCAUAAGUUGUUUACACAAAUAAACAUUCCAGGACGUGGGAUUUUAUUCAGUAAUUGCCAUAUUGGUCAUAAAACAUGCCUGAAAACCCAAAGUACUACUUUAUUGCAUUUAGCAGCAACAAUUAGCCUCUCAAUUUUUCACUGUUUUAACAGACAUGAUGGCUUUCUACUGUGAGAAUAGGCUAAAAAAAUAAGCAACGAACAAACACAACCAAAAAGCAGGCUCUUCUGUACAACCAUACGCUCCAUAGGCUUACACGCAAAAAGCCUGAGCUGUGUUUCAUGAGGCAAAAGAAACAAACGGGCGGCAGACCAUUUUCCUUCCUACAUGAGGCACUAUCUAGAGGAGAGGGAGCAGCGAGGAGUUUUGUUGCAAGGCUCUCUCAGAUGUACCACAGGCAAUUCCUUGCUGCUGAGGACCAGAAUAAGGGCAAAAGUGGAAACAAUAGGAAAAGGUACAGUCCUUAAUGCAUCACUUGCUCUAUUCCAUUGUCCACGAAACAACAGAAGUGAUGGUUGGACGUGAUGACCUUAGAAAUCUUCUCCAACUUUAAUGAUCCUAUGAAUUUUUACACUGAACCAUUUCUGUAAAACAGAGAGCAUAAGUUUUGCAAGAGGGGGGUGUUUGUGAGCUGGAACAUUUUUUCUUUGCAGAAGAUUAAUCAAGAUAAAUAAGUCAUUUGGAAACGCUUGUAGUAGAUAUUCAGGUAGACACCUGAAGCCACCACAAGGCACAAAGUCACAUCAAGAGGACUCACUUUAUGUAGACUCUUGCAGGUUCAAGACAAGAGAAGUACAGCUGUGACAGAAACUGGGGGAUUCCACUCAGGUGAACUGCAGAUGUGAGCAAAGAUACACAUAACUGAUGCAGCACAGUUACCUCGCAAUUUGGAUAAUUAACCCAUGGGUAAUCAAGUAUUGAUGGCAUUGCACUAACUGCAGAAACUAUGUCCUAGAAACAUUACUGGGAAUAUCCAUCCUGUGUUUUCACCUCCUAGAAGUCCGAUUUGGACAGCUGACUGACCUACUUCCAGCAUGUCACUGUUCCCAGCACACCAACCCCUAUCCCUAAACACAUGGUUGCUUCCAGCAAGGGAGAGAAAAGGAGGACUGGGCUACAGAUGUUCCUCGCGCAUACAAUCAACACGGCCCUCCCCCACCAAAGUUUAAUAAGGAUUGUUAGUACAUCAUUGUAGCUGGUAAUUGUGUAGGUACACAUGGUAAUUGCAUGUAUUUGCACUAAUUAUGUAAAUGCACAAUAAUUAAAGCUCCAGGGUUUUCAUGGUAAAUUUUUAAAACACUCAUGGAUUUGUCAUGGCAAAAGUGUCAGUCAUGUAACCUAGUGGGGAAGAAAAGGAGGAGGAGGCUCAGGAGUGCACACUUCUUAAAUAAAAACAGACAUUUUUGCAUGAGUAACUGGAGAGGGGAUACCAUUUUAUCAUCAAACAGAACUGUCAUGCCUGGGUACAACUUCUUUCAGACUCUCUUAUCAGUUAGAAUAAUAAUAAUUAAAAAUUAAAAAAAAAAAUAUUGGUUUUCAUGGUAGGUCAUUGCUAAUGCUCAAAUACUCCCUGCCUUCUAUCCUGGCUUUCCCCACCCACCCUGCACUGCAGGUCUCAGGGCUUCCCUCUGCUCUGUGCUGCAGGGAUGAGCAAGCCUCUGCUUGGCGGGCAUGGAGGGGCCUGGGCAGUUCAGUGCUCCUUAACAACUGCAGCCGCAGAAGGAAAGGGAGCUUUGCAAACACACAGCAUGCAUCUCACUGCGAGGCAUGCAGACAAGCAGCGUAGCUGGUGUUCAGCCUCAUUGGCCACCGUACAGCUCCCUGAGCAGCCCUACUGUGCCAUGCUGGGCUCACAGGUCCUGCUCAGUGGGCAGUAUGACAGAGAGCUGUGACAUGGAGCACCAACUAGAUGUUUCACACUAAAAGCUGGCUGCUCCAAAACACACUGUGUGAGGUUUUAAUCCCUUCAGCCACAUGCUCCUUUUAUGGGUGAUACCUGCACUCAUGACACUUGCAUCCACUGGGAAGGCACCAACCUGACUUGUGCUUAAGCAGAAAUAUUCUUCCCUGUGCCACCUCAUUGCAGGUGUUCUUGUUGGCCCACACAGCACCUCUGCAGGAUUGCUUACUCAUACACAGCUUCCUCAGGACCGUUGCAACCAAGAGCCAGUACAAGAGCUUUAAGCUACCGAGGCCAAAUACCUAAAGACAAGACACAAAGGGGAGCUUCCUUGGGAUUUACAACACAGCUUUAAGAGGAUUUGGGGGACACACAGCCACACAGUUAUUUAUGUAAACCUAAGUCUAUAUACGUGGAUCAAAAAACUCCACAUACAUGGCAACUACUUUCAUUAUGCCCCAGCACAUUCCAUAUCGUUCAGGUGUUGUUUUCUUUUAGUCAUUUCUUUGAAGACACUUUAAAAAAAAUCAAAGCUAAAUUAAAACAAAACAUAAAACUAUAUGAUAAAAACUGAACAAAUCUAGUGAUACAAAAGUUAUGUUAAAAGCAGAUUUUAAUUGCUGGCGUCCAAUUAAACAAGAGAAGCUACCUUGUAUAGUGACUAUUUUCUACUUCAUUUCUAAGAAUGGACAUAUUUUCAGGAUUUUUUUUUUAUUUCCUAUGGUGUUAAGAAUGUCUGUAUCCAUGCCUGAUAGAGAUUAAAGAAAGCAAAGCAUCAUCUUAAACUUUUGGAUUUGCGGAAACAUGUUUGUUAAUGCACUGAGAAUCUUGAAGGAGUACAGGAGGAUUUCACACAACUAACUGUACUCCUUCUGAUAAUAAAUAAAUAAACGUUGCUAAAACAGUGAUCUGUUGAAUUAAUUUCCUUUAGUUUUACAAUAAAUUCAUCUGUUCCUCAGGUAAUGGGUAGAGGGUGUCUAAAAUUCUUUAAAUACAGGGUUUGUGUUCAGGACUGGAAAGCAGCUGAGUUGGGUUAUCUGUCUGUAGGGAAUUGUCCAUCUGUCUGUAGGGAAUUUAUUUUGGCUUGUUUUUGUUGUACAGCAGCAUUGUGAGGCUAAGUUAGUGCUUUAAUUUUUGUUAAUGCAGGACCAAAGGUCUUUCAGAUGUUUAUGUCUAGUGGCAGCUCGUAUCAUAAAUACUUGCUUCCAGCAUCAUGACUACACAGACUGAGUAAGCCUUCAAUCCAGCAAGGUCCCUCAGACUUGGUGCUUCUUCACAUGCCACACAAAUAUGCUUACUCAGGCAGGAAAAAAAUGCCUAAUUUAUGAGAAGUGUUUUGGUUCAUCAGAUUUGCAAAAGCAGUUUGGUGGUACAGCUGACAUUCAGAUUCCUUCGCAAGAAGAGUUGGAAGGUUGUCCUUUCUGAAAGUCAUGUCCAUGGUGUCUCAAGUUGAUAGCAUGAGCAUGAAAACACCUGCAGUUAGCAGUGGGCCUAUUUCCUACUUCUGUGUGAUUCUUUUGGUCUGCAUGAACAAUAUGAAAAAAUAUUGUUAAAUAUAAGUUGAUCUAAAUAAAUACAAAUAUAUGCUUAUUGAUAUGUAUCACAAGAGGUGUUUGUGUAAUGAACUGAUUGGUCUGAGAUCCUAGCAUGAGCAAUUCUGACACAAAUGGCAACUUGGUGCUGACUGUUGGGACACACGAAGGUGUCCUUUGCUGAAUAUUUGCUACCAGAACAUCUAGGAAUGGAAGAUAUUCUUGGAAAUCUAGGCAAUGGGAUUUGCUCAAAAAUCCAUGGCAAAUACAUGACCAGAACCUGUACCUGAACCUGUUCCUGACUCGUGAGCUGAACUGGCAGGUGCCCUGUUCCAACAAGCCAGCCACAGUACAGGUGUAUUUUAAAUCACUGUGCUGAGUCAUUCUCAUUUAAAUGUAGGCUAAACCACCUGAGUGUACUGUCCUUGCUAACCUCCACAAACUCACUGUAAAGUUUUCCCUCUACAGAGCAGACAAAGCCCAUUGGCUUCAUCCCUCAUGUGAGCCACAGCCAGGCAGCUAUUGCCUAUUUGCUGCAUCAUGAUAUAUGAUUACAGACAGUUGUGAGUGUUUGUUUGCUUGCUAGGCUUGUUCCUUUAAAGAGGAAGAAUUAUCCUAUUAUCUCAAGCAGAAUCACACUUGUUCCACUCUAUCUUGCCUUCUAAACUUUAAAAGCUGAAAAGUCAUCUUUUAAGUGUCUUUUUUUAGCUGAAGGAUUUUCUUUUAUUUAAUUUCUAUACAUACGCAUUUUCCACUACACAUGCUGGAAUAGUAUCUGUUUGAUUUCCUGUUAUUGUACGUAAGUCUACAUUUUUUGUCAGUGCUUUGUUUUAAACAAAGCAGAGGAACAUAUAGCAAGUUUGUCCUGAAUUAAUGGCUUCCUGACAUUUGAUGAAAUUCUUUAUACCAACCCCACUUUUCCAUAUUCCCUUUCUGGAUUUCUUUUCGUUUGGCAGCUGGCAUGUAGCAGUUAGAUCCUAUCUGGUAGCUAGAGCAAAAAGAGUCCCAAAAUGUAGAAUUACUUUUAAGAGCUCUAAAUACUACCUAGACUUCAACUUUAAAAACCUGGAAGAAUCCCAAACCCAGGAGAAAGGAUGUAUGAUGUACAUUAUCGGGCUACUGUUACGGGGAAUAGUUUAAAUACUGAAUAAAACUCAAUGAAGACUUUCAGAAUUAUUUUUGUUCAGACUUUACAGUCUUGUGGGGAAUGCAGAGGUUAGCAAUGACACCUCAAACACUAUACUGUCUUGAUAGGACUUGAAGGUUAGAUCAGGGAAGUACUGGGUAACCUAUCAAAGUCCUGAAAUCAAAAGGCAUCUUUUCUAAAAUAAAUCUCGGUGGGGAGAAUGUACACAUUCUCAUGCUGCUGUUUGUUUUGUCAUAUUCACAGGUAAAAGAAAACUAUGGGCAAUGUCUGAUAAUGCGCCUGUCCUCUACUCAGACUUGCCCCCUUCAAUGACUAGAGUCACUUCUCAAUGACUGGAGGCUCUGCAGAGUGGGGAAGUGAAAACCAGAACCCGCCUCUCCGAAGAUAAAGUUGAAAAAAAGCAAAUGAGCAAAAACAAACAAACAAACAAAAAAUACUCCCUUAACCUGGUAUCAAACAUCCAUCCUAUCUUGUUUUGAAUUGAUCUGGAGAAAAUGGUAGUUGGCAAUGACUCUUAAAUGUAUGACCAAUCAUUUUGCUUUUUUAUAGGUACGUGAAAGACACAGCUUGCCAGAGUGGAAUUCAUGUACCUCCUGAAAUAUUUAAGACACCUGCAGUGAGAUUAUUUUUCCUCUUUUAAUUUGAAGAACCUGCAUUUCUCAGUUCUGAGGCAUUUCUCUGGCGGUAAUGUGUGCCAAAUAACUGGCAGUCUGGCACAACAGCACUUAUAUUCCAAGUAUUAUAAAAGAUAGAUAACAAGAAACCUGUUGCUUUUCUUUUCAGGGGAACUGAACCAUGAAUCUUAUAUGGCAUCAGUAGGUACAGAUAUAAACCCCUCUCCACUGUUUUUCUCUGCUUCUGUGACAUAAAAUUAAGGCCCAAAUUCUACAAAAUAUUUAACAGGAAAAAUCUCACAGCCCAAAAGCUCUCCUGAGGCAGUAUUUGCAUACAAUUUGUUGCAAGAUUAGGAUCAGAGGUUUUUUUCUCCCUAUUUUUCUACCUCAUUGGGUGUUAUUCUGGCAUUGCUAUGUUUUUCCAUUUACAUUGUUUUGACUAGAGUCAAAAUUGUUGUUACAUUUUAAGUCAGUGUCUGCUCUACUAAUUGAUGGGCUGCUAAAGAUCAGCCACGGAGAGUUAGAUUUCAGAGCAAGAAUCUGGCUCACAGAAGAAGUGAUUACAUGAGAUAUGUAAGGACCAAAGCCUGUAAGACCGAUUCAAACCCUAAAUGAUUUGACCAAGAGUACAAGGCUGUGAUACAUUCACAGUGAAAAUAUGGCACCUGGUCACAGUGUCUGGCUUCCACUUCUUCCAUCCAACUUUAGCUGUCCUCCUUUUGCAGAGGUCAAAGCAUUGUAUAAAUAUCAGUUAAGCAGAGUAAAAUCAGCUCCUUUAAAAUAUUUAGCUACCAUCUACCAGUGCUUUAUAAUAUGAAGAACAUACCUCUGCUCUCCUGGAACAUGGCAGGAAGCAGAAGUUUCUCUUUUGAAGGCAAUGAAGUUCCUCUGCAUCUGACUUCCAAGCAGUGUCUAACCUUGCUAUAUAUUUUAAUCUAACAGUAAGAUUUUUACUUCAGAACUUGUUUUCAUUCUGAAUCUGAGAGAGAAAGUGGGCACACUGUAGAUUUCUUGUAAAAAAUUUGUAUAACCAUGCUUAUCAAAUUUUAAACAGUAGCACCAGUAUUGCAAUACUUACUUUACCAUUAUAUUAAAAACAAAAGCAACUGAAAGGAAAGUCAGCACGAAAAGUUUUCCUCUUAUCAGAGUAAAUGAGAAUAUUGAUAUAAUGCAUUUCUGCUCUCUGCCUUUUAAAAUGGCAUUGAAAGCAACACAUUCUUACAAUAAAGUUUGCAUUUCACUCAAAGUGCAUUUUCCAACUGGAAAGUGUAAAGGCGAAUAUUUCAGGAUUGGUCCUACUUGAUGGUGCUUUGCAAAUACUCUCUAUUAACCUGAAUGACUGCGUAAGGUAGAGGAAAUCGGUAAACCUGGCCCUCUGAGAGCAGAGGAGCAAGUUGUUAAUGUUAAUGGGUAUCAAUUCACAUAUAUUUGCUUACAGAGAUCUGUGGCAGCUCUGAGUGUUUCACUGUGUCCAAUUUCUUCUUGCAUAAAUAAAGAAGAGCAUGAAUACUUGAAAAGAUGAAGGCUUCUCUGGAGCAGAAGAGCCAGAACUACUACAAGGAAAUUCUUGUGCUUCUUUAAUUACCCUCCUUUGCCCAUAGGUGGAAUUUCCACUCGGACAGCCCCAGCAAGCAGACUGCUAGCCUGGGAAGAGAUGUCUGUUUGUCUUUGUACAGCAAACACUGGCUGUGUUGUGCAGCUCAAGCUUCUGAUUCAAAUGAUUUCCUGAAUUCAUUCUGCUUCAUACCUCAGGGAAGGAAGAGAGGUUUUAUUUCUCCUGAGGAACAUUAAGAAGUAUUUCCCUCCCUGGGGAUGUGGAUUCUCCAUUCUGAAGAAGCCUGGGUCAUUGGAUGUCUCUUGCACAGAGAACACUUCGGAUGUCUCCGCCAGUGUUCCCAGAAAAGGGAGAUGUUUCCUGUCUGGUAGUACAGAGCAGCUGAUCAUUUCCAUGUUAUGCUGAACACAAAAACUGGACCCACUCUCAUAGUCCUCAGUGUGGGGCACCAUGUGAAUACAAAGAAGACAAUGACUGAAGGAGUUUUAAUCUUCCCUGGCCUCUCAGAUACCUUGGGGGACUCCUGGCCUUGGACCCCCUGCUCCCUGUCAUUUUUCUGACCACUUCUGGUGGGAUCCUGUGCUGUUUGCACUUAAAGUUACUGAAGUGAACCGAAAAUUGUAAGUCUCCAGCAAAGAUUAAAUGGCACAAAAAG